CACGUCCGGGGCCCGAUACCCUCCAAGUGCUUUUACUCUCUUGUAGUUCUAUGUCAUGCAUGCAUGCAAAUGACCUACUGAUGAAUGAAUGCGUAGCACCUGUAUCAAACAUGGCCCUGGAGCGAACUCCGUUAAUUAAAACCAUAUCUGCGAGUACAUGACGAUCCUUCGCCUCAGCAGGCUCUUCGGCUCGAGUUUGGGCGGCGAAUACCCGCCCGCUUGGAGCUGAUCUCAUUGCCUCCGGUUGGCGUGGUACCAUCGCACGCCCAGCCGAUGACGCAGCAGGUGGAACUCCCCUAUAAUGUGCCGGAGUCGCCGGAGCCGACGCGACCGAAGGGGCGGGCGAAGCCCUCACUGGACAGCAGCGGCUAAUAUGGCCUGCCUGUCAACACGUGAAGCACCUCCCUUCCCGUUGAUCACACGUCCUUGGCUCAUGGUUCCCACCACAGAUUGUGCACCGCUGCGGUCCGCGGCCCUUGGAUUGCGUACGCGGGUACUUCGGGGGCUUCCUUGACUUGGUUUGAGCUCCCGAGCUACUCUGAGCCCGCUUCUUGCCACCGUCCUUCUCGGACGCUUUUCACUCUUCCCGGAUGUGAGCGUUUCCUUGCUCCGCCCACAACGCUCUAUCGAGCACCUCCGCGAAGGUAGUGAGCUUCAGAAUGUGCACCGCCCGGUAGAUAUCAGCCCGGAGCCCUCGCUCGAACCAAUCGGCUCGAUCCCUGUCAUCCCGCACUACAUCGGGGACGCAGUCAAUGAUGUGAGAGAACUCCCGCUCAUAUUCCGCUACCGUGCGGUUCCCUUGCUUCAACUUUCGAAACUGCUCCUGGAGUUUCUUCUUCUCGCUAUCGGGAAAGUAGUUGACAUAAAACAAUCCCCG
rnacentral:lncRNA from 1 species